rnacentral:pre_miRNA from 1 species
AUCACUUGGGUAAUUGUGGUAAAAUGCAGAUUCUGAUUCAGCUGGCCUGGGGUACAGCCUGAGAUUCUGCUUUUCUAACAAGCUCCCAGGUGAUGCCAA